GAUGAACGCUGACAGAAUGCUUAACACAUGCAAGUCAACUUGAAUUUGGGUUUUUACCUUAGGUUUGGGUGGCGGACGGGUGAGUAACGCGUAAAGAACUUGCCUCACAGCUAGGGACAACAUUUGGAAACGAAUGCUAAUACCUAAUAUUAUGAUAAUAGGGCAUCCUAUAAUUAUGAAAGCUAUAAGCGCUGUGAGAGAGCUUUGCGUCCCAUUAGCUAGUUGGAGAGGUAACGGCUCACCAAGGCGAUGAUGGGUAGCCGGCCUGAGAGGGUGAGCGGCCACAAGGGGACUGAGACACGGCGCUUACUCCUACGGGAGGCAGCAGUGGGGAAUAUUGGACAAUGGACCGAGAGUCUGAUCCAGCAAUUCUGUGUGCACGAUGAAGUUUUUCGGAAUGUAAAGUGCUUUCAGUUGGGAAGAAACAAGUGACGGUACCAACAGAAGAAGUGACGGCUAAAUACG
rnacentral:rRNA from 1 species